rnacentral:rRNA from 1 species
UAGUCCACACGGUAAACGAUGAAUACUCGCUGUUUGCGAUACACGGCAAGCGGCCAAGCGAAAGCGUUAAGUAUUCCACCUGGGGAGUACGACCGCAAGGUUGAAACUCAAAGGAAUUGACGGGGGCCCGCACAAGCAGUGGAGUAUGUGGUUUAAUUCGAAGCAACGCGAAGAACCUUACCAGGGCUUGACAUAAACAGGAAUAAUCAAGAGAUUGGUUAGCUCUUCGGAGCCUGUUUAC